UACGGGGGGUGCAAGCGUUGUUCGGAAUUACUGGGCGUAAAGGGCGCGUAGGCGGCCCUCUAAGUCAGACGUGAAAUCCCACGGCUCAACCGUGGAACUGCGUCUGAUACUGGAGGGCUUGAAUCCGGGAGAGGGAUGUGGAAUUCCAGGUGUAGCGGUGAAAUGCGUAGAUAUCGGGAGGAACACCAGUGGCGAAGGCGACUACCUGGCCUGUUCUUGACGCUGAGGCGCGAAAGCUAGGGGAGCAAACGGG
rnacentral:rRNA from 1 species